rnacentral:rRNA from 1 species
CCUACGGGCGGCUGCAGUGGGGAAUAUUGGACAAUGGGGGCAACCCUGAUCCAGCCAUGCCGCGUGUGUGAAGAAGGCCCUCGGGUUGUAAAGCACUUUCAGUGAGGAAGAACGCCUGGUGGUUAAUACCCAUCAGGAAAGACAUCACUCACAGAAGAAGCACCGGCUAACUCCGUGCCAGCAGCCGCGGUAAUACGGAGGGUGCGAGCGUUAAUCGGAAUUACUGGGCGUAAAGCGCGCGUAGGUGGCUUGAUAAGCCGGUUGUGAAAGCCCCGGGCUCAACCUGGGAACGGCAUCCGGAACUGGCAAGCUAGAGUGCAGGAGAGGGAGGUAGAAUUCCCGGUGUAGCGGUGAAAUGCGUAGAGAUCGGGAGGAAUACCAGUGGCGAAGGCGGCCUUCUGGACUGACACUGACACUGAGGUGCGAAAGCGUGGGUAGCAAACAGGAUUAGAUACCCCAGUAGUC